CAGCAGGGAAAAACCACUCAGUGCAUGGGUACCCAGUGCUGUGCUCUUGGUGGUUUCUGAGGUUUCAUCUCCUGGGAAGGGCUGCCUGGGAGUUUGUUGCUCUUCUGUUUAUGAGAGACAAGGGUAAAACAAUGAGAAAAGGGUAAAACAAUGAGACAAGGGUAAAGCAAUGAGAAAAGGGUAAAGCAAUGAGAAAAGGGUAAAACAAUGAGACAAUGGGUAAAACAGUGAGACAAGGGUAAAACAAUGAGACAACAGCAAAACAAUGAGACAAUGGUAAAACAAUGAGAAAAGGGUAAAACAAUGAGACAAGGGUAAAACAGUGAGACAAUGGGUAAAACAAUGAGACAAGGGUAAAACAAUGAGACAGGCAAAACAAUGAGACAAGGGUAAAACAAUGAGACAAUGGUUAAAAGAGUGAGACAUCUGCCACCAGGAAUAGCCUCACAGAGCUGUCACCUCCACAUCAUGGCCUGAGCUUGUUGCUCAAGAGGAGCUGAGCCAAACUGGCCAGAGGAUGGGAUGUGUCUCUGUGCUGUCCCUGUCCCCUGUGUGUCCCCAGGGGGAGCAGGGACUGUGUGCACCCCCUGGGCACGGGGAUCUGAGGGAUCUGAGGUGUGUGUGCACAGUCCUGCAGCUGUGUCCUGGCCAGGAGCCACACCCUGCAGGGAGGCUGUGGGGACAGAGGGGACAAUGCCCCCGUGUCCAGCCUGUGGCUGCUCCUUCCCUCGCAGUGAGGGACUCCUCUGCCCCAUCCUGGCUGUUUCCCUGGGAUCCCUCCCUUGGCAGCCCUGCUGGGGGCACAGGGAUCCCAGUGCCUUGUGCUGGGCAGGGAGCACAGCACUGCUGCUGCCUCGGGCUCCCUGUUCCCCUGGGAUAACUGGGAUAACCCAGCCCCAUCUCCCUGAGCUGGGGUUCCACAGGGGGAUGGAGCUGGGGGAGCUCACAGACUGGGCUGAGAUCUCCCACACCCUGGAGACCCCCUUCUGGUCAAACUGAGGGGAGAGGUUGUGGUUGUGCUCACAACCUCAUGGACCAAGCCCAAGCCAAAGCUGCUGCCUCCUGACUUCUGACCACUGAAGCCAUUCCACUGCCCCCCUGAGGGUUCCCACCAUUUUUUGGAAGGAUGAUUUUAUGCUCAGAACUCGAUUCUGUUCCUGCUUUCACCAGGGACUCGUUCUCAGCUUCAGAACUGCUCUGAUAACUCUGCAAUUGCAUUGACAGUUCCAGAGGGGAGCACAGUCCCUUCACACAACAGAUGGAGACACAUUUGCAGGACCAUUCAACUUUGCUGUAACUCCCUGUUUUUUAGAACAAUUCCUUCUGCUGUAACGGGGAGAGCAAAAUUUGGCCAGUGCUCUUGAAAAACCUGCAAUCCUAAACUUGGAUAAAAUCAGCCUGGAAUCCAAGUCCUCCCAGAUCCAAAAUGCCUUCCACACCUGCUGGCUUCAGUGGCACUGGGGAUUUUGGCAGCUUGCACAGCAGCAGCAGCAGCAGCAAUUUCAGAAUAUUUUUGCGUGUGUCAAUCUGCGCUUGCACGUGCCUGCAAUGCAUGGCUCCAGCAAUCCCUGGGAAAUCUCCCCCUUCCCAGGAAAAUCCCAGCUCCAGCUUCUCCCAUGUGGCCAUCUGUGCUGAGCAGGGAGUUGGGGGAGAGGGAGAAAGCUGCUGCUUUAAAGCACUUGGUUCCAGAGGUGAAACAGAAUUUAGGAGAGGUGAAAAUCACCUUGGGAAACUCGCGGCAUAUCCAAGCAUUCCCAUGCAGAUCCACCUUUUUUAUUUUUUUCCUGCUGGGAAAAUGAAGCAGACUGGCAAUUCCUGGCCUCCACCCCUGCAGAUGUUUGGCUGUUGAUGGAACUUUGAGCCCUGGAAUCACAGGAAUGAAACCCCAAGAGGUUGUGAGCUCAGAGCUGAGCAGUGGCAGCACCUCACUGCCAGGGCUGCUGCUCUCCUGCCUCACUCAUCCACGCCCUACCUGGCCAGAUUUUGGGGAGGAAGAGCCUCAAAGUGAGCAAAUCAAACCUGUGAUGCUGGCCCUGAGAAUUCCUGGUUUAUCAGGAGCCUGAAGUUUUGCAGCUAUUCCUCAUUGCAGUAGAGAGGAAUUGGGCGAGACUCCUGUAUCCAAAGCUUUCAGAGCUGUUCUGGAGCUGUGGAAAAGCAAGAACUGGGAUGCAGGGCAGCUCUCUGCAGAAAUCUAGGAGGGAAAAACACCAGGCAAAGUAUUUUCCUUACAGGGGCAUCCUUAAUACCUGGAAAAUUGAAAGGCUAAAUACUGGAAAAGAUGGUUUAAGAGAGAAGCUAAUUCAGGGCUCCUUUUUGCUGCUUUGUUUUCAUGUGUUGGUUUUGGGGUGAGGAAAGCAAACAGAGAGCAAACAGCCAGUGUGUCAAAUUUGGAUCAAAUCAAACUUUUUGUUCCUACAAUAACUGCUGGCGGAGAUUUUUCAAAUGUAUCAAGGGCAACAAAACCAGCCUUAAUUAACUGAGACAUUAAUGCUCCUUGCUUCUGAGCCUGCUUUUGUGUUCUCCUCUCUGUGUGAUCGUGGCAUGGAAUCCUGUCUUAACAAAAGCCACUUCCCAGCAGCCCAGAGGAUGCUCAGGAGCAGGGAUGGGGUAGGAGAAUCUCCCUGUGAGUGAGAUUCAGUGCUAAACCCCUGCUUUGCUAAAACCCUGCAAGAUAGGCAAAUCCUCACAAUUCCCAAGGUUGAAUUCCCAUGCUCUCCUGCCUCGAAAUGCCUUUAAAAACCCCAGGCUGUGUGUGCUUUGUGAGCAGUGUGCAGCUUUUCCAGAGUGCACACACAAUUCCCCAGGCAGAGGAUGAGGCAGAGCACGGUGACUUUCAGCCAGGACUCGUCACUUUUUUCCAUUGCACAGAGUUAAAAACACCACUUCUGCCAGCUGCCCGGGGAAUUUGAUGUUCAGUGCCAAUUAAUUUUUGUAAUAGGAGCAGGGAUUUAUCCCCUUGGCUCCCCCAGGCACCUUCAGUCUCAUACUCAAAGGCUGGGUUGGAGUCUUUCAUUUUCCAGUGGCCUUUUCCUGAAGAGCAGCGGUGCCACGGUGAGGACGGGGACUGGGCUGGGGAAGGUGGCAGCUUUGGGGCAGGCAACUCCCAAAUUUUCCAUUGUAAACCCUUCAGAUGUGGGUUCUGCAAGCCCUGGCUGCUCCCUGCUCCCCUCACACCCUCAGGUCACUGUGCCUUCAUCCGCUCGAGGAAACCAUGCCAAGAUCUGAGCCUGGCACUCUCACUUUGCAUCCCAUCCCCAGGUGUGUGUGGGGCAGGGGGAGCUCCCUGUGUAGCUGCUUUUUGUGUGAUCCCAGGGUAGGUUUGUGCAGGGGUGGGGUGACCUGAGCUGUGUGUGAUCCUACCAGUGCUUUAAGCAGCCAGAAACGUGGUUCUUCCCCUACCUCCAAGCUCUCAAUGCUGCUAAAAAUCUCUGCCAUUCGUCCCCCGUGCUCCAGCCCCUCUCUCAGACUGGCUCUGGCUCUGUUUGCAAGAUAUCCACGUUGUUCUGAAGCAUGCACCUCUCUCUGUAUAGUCCCAAUCUUCUGAUUUUAUGGAAUACUUAUGCCUGUUUGCAUUACGGUCCAAAUAAAAAAGUGAACUAAAA